UACGUAGGGUGCGAGCGUUAAUCGGAAUUACUGGGCGUAAAGCGUGCGCAGGCGGUUCGUUGUGUCGGUGGUGAAAGCCCCGGGCUUAACCCUGGGAAUGGCCAUGGAAACUGGCGAACUGGAGUGUGGCAGAGGGGGGUGGAAUUCCGCGUGUAGCAGUGAAAUGCGUAGAGAUGCGGAGGAACACCGAUGGCGAAGGCAGCCCCCUGGGCUAGCACUGACGCUCAGGCACGAAAGCGUGGGGAGCAAACAGG
rnacentral:rRNA from 1 species